UUGCUUUGGCAGCACAUAUACUAAAAUUGGAACGAUACAGAGAUUAGCAUGAUCUCUGCGCAAGGCUGACACACAAAUUCGUGAAGUAUUUCAUGUUUUU
ensembl:snRNA U6 U6 spliceosomal RNA